rnacentral:misc_RNA from 1 species
GAUGAAGAACGUAGUGAAAUGCGAUAAGUAGUGUGAAUUGCAGAAUUCAGUGAAUCAUCGAAUCUUUGAACGCACAUUGCGCCCCUUGGUAUUCCAUGGGGCAUGCCUGUUCGAGCGUCAUUUGUACCUUCAAGCCUUGCUUGGUGUUGGGUGUUUGUCUCGCCUCUGCGCGCAGACUCGCCUCAAAACAAUUGGCAGCCGGCGUAUUGAUUUCGGAGCGCAGUACAUCUCGCGCUUUGCACUCAGAACGACGACGUCCAAAAGUACAUUUUUUACACUCUUGACCUCGGAUCAGGUAGGGAUACCCGCUGAACUUAAGCAUAUCAAUAAGCGGAGGA